GGCCUGGUGGUGUAUGGCGCACAUUUGCCGAACAUCAACAUUCACUAGCUGUGUUCCGUGAGCAUAGGGAUCUGGUUCGAACCCAGACUAGGUCA